GGAGAGGUGUCCGAGCGGUUGAAGGAGCACGCCUGGAAAGUGUGUAUACGGUCAAAAGCCGUAUCGAGGGUUCGAAUCCCUCCCUCUCCGCCA
rnacentral:tRNA from 3 species